GUUUUGGUGAUGGUGAUGUGUUUGUAGAUCUUACUUUACUAAACAUUCUUGCUGGUUACAAUUAUCUCUCUAUAACAGUACUUCUGUGGAAAAUGUUAUUGAAAAUCUUCAAAAUUUUAAGAAAAUUGUUAAAAAUUGACUAUGAAGGGCAAUAACUCCUUAGGGGGUCAAUUGACUAUUUUGGUCAUUCUGACUUAUUUUUAGUUCUUAAUUUGCUGUACAUUAUUGCUGUUUACAGUUUAUCUCUAUCUAUAAUAAUAUUCAAGAUAAUAACAAAAAAACAGCAAAAUUUCCUCAAAAUUACCAAUUCAGGGGCAGCAACCUAACAACCAAUUAUCCGAUUCAUCUGAAAAUUCCAGGGCAGAUAGAUUGUAACCUGAUCAACAAUUUUACUUCCUGUCAGAUUUGCUCUUAAUACUUUGGUUUUUGAGUUAUAAGCCAAAAACUGCAUUUUACCCCUAUGUUCUAUUUUUAGCCAUGCAGCCAUCUUGGUUGGUUGGCCGGGUCACCGGACACAUUUUUUAAACUAGAUACCCCUAUGAUGAUUAUGGCCAAGUUUGGUUAAAUUUGGCCCAGUAGUUUAAGAGGAGAAGAUUUUUCUAAAAGAUUACUAAGAUUUACGAAAAAUGGUUAAAAAUUGACAAUAAAGGGCAAUAACUCCUAAAGUGGUCAACUGACCAUUUUGGUCAUGUUGACUUAUUUGUAGAUCUUACUUUGCUGAACAUUAUUGCUGUUUACAGUUUAUCUCUAUCUAUAAUAAUAUUCAAGAUAAUAACCAAAAACAGCAAAAUUUUCUUAAAAUUACCAUUUCAGAGGCAGCAACCCAACAACGAAAUGUCCGAUUCAUCUGAAAAUUUCAGGGCAGAUAGAUCUUGACCUGAUGAACAAUAUUACCCCUGUCAGAUUUGCUCUAAAUGCUUUGGUUUUUGAGUUAUAAGCCAAAAACUGCAUUUUACCCCUAUGUUCUAUUUUUAGCCAUGGCGGCCAUCUUGGUUGGUUGGCCGGGUCACCGGACACAUUUUUUAAACUAGAUACCCAAUGAUGAUUGUGGCCAAGUUUGGUUAAAUUUGGCCCAGUAGUUUCAGAGGAGAAGAUUUUUGUAAAAGUUAACGCCGGACGACGGACGCAGGACGACGACGGACGACGGACGCCGGACGCCAAGUGAUGGGAAAAGCUCACUUGGCCCUUCGGGCCAGGUGAGCUAAAACCC
rnacentral:lncRNA from 1 species